rnacentral:rRNA from 1 species
AGUCAUAUGCUUGUCUCAAAGAUUAAGCCAUGCAUGUCUAAGUAUAAGCACCUUAUACUGUGAAACUGCGAAUGGCUCAUUAAAUCAGUUAUCGUUUAUUUGAUGAUCUCUUGCUACUUGGAUACCCGUGGUAAUUCUAGAGCUAAUACAUGCGACAACACCCGACUUCUGGAAGGGUGGUAUUUAUUAGAUAAAAAACCUUCUCGCUUCGGCGAUGUCCCGGUGAUUCAUAAUAACUUUUCGAAGUGCAUGGCCUUGCGCCGGCGCUGGUUCAUUCAAAUUUCUGCCCUAUCAACUUUCGAUGGUAGUGUAUUGGACUACCAUGGCGUUUACGGGUAACGGAGGAUUAGGGUUCGAUUCCGGAGAGGGAGCCUGAGAAACGGCUACCACAUCUAAGGAAGGCAGCAGGCGCGUAAAUUACCCACUGGCCGAAGGCCGAGGUAGUGACGAAAAAUAACGAUACCGGACUCAUCCGAGGCCCGGUAAUCGGAAUGAGUACACUUUAAAUCCUUUAACGAGUAUCAAU